rnacentral:rRNA from 1 species
GAGUUUGAUCCUGGCUCAGAAUGAACGCUAGCGGCAGGCUUAACACAUGCAAGUUGAGGGGCAGCGCGGGGUAGCAAUACCCUGGCGGCGACCGGCGCACGGGUGCGUAACGCGUAUGCAACCUGCCCGCAACAGGGGGAUAACGGAGAGAAAUCUCCACUAAUACCCCGUAUUGUCAGGCUUCCGCAUGGGGGACUGACGAAAGCUUCGGCGGUUGCGGAUGGGCAUGCGUGGCAUUAGGUAGUUGGCGGGGCAACGGCCCACCAAGCCCACGAUGCCUAGGGGAGCUGAGAGGCUUAUCCCCCACACUGGUACUGAGACACGGACCAGACUCCUACGGGAGGCAGCAGUGAGGAAUAUUGGUCAAUGGAGGGAACUCUGAACCAGCCAUGCCGCGUGCGGGAAGAAGGCCCUAUGGGUUGUAAACCGCUUUUAACCGGGAGUAAUAAGGGCCGUGCGCGGUCCGAUGAGAGUACCGGUGGAAUAAGCAUCGGCUAACUCCGUGCCAGCAGCCGCGGUAAUACGGAGGAUGCGAGCGUUAUCCGGAUUUAUUGGGUUUAAAGGGUGCGUAGGCGGAGCGUUAAGUCAGCGGUGAAAUGUCCCGGCUCAACCGGGGAGCUGCCGUUGAUACUGUCGCACUAGGGUCCGAACGGCGCCGGCGGAAUAUGUAAUGUAGCGGUGAAAUGCAUAGAUAUUACAUAGAACACCGAUCGCGAAGGCAGCUGGCGAGGACGGCACCGACGCUGAGGCACGAAGGCGUGGGGAUCGAACAGGAUUAGAUACCCUGGUAGUCCACGCAGUAAACGAUGGCGACUUGUUGUCGGCGACAGACUGCCGGUGACAAAGCGAAAGCGAUAAGUCGCCCACCUGGGGAGUACGAUCGCAAGGUUGAAACUCAAAGGAAUUGACGGGGGCCCGCACAAGCGGAGGAGCAUGUGGUUUAAUUCGAUGAUACGCGAGGAACCUUACCUGGACUCAAAUGCAGGACGGCAGGCCCAGAAAUGGGUUCUCUUCGGGGCGUCUUGCAAGGUGCUGCAUGGUUGUCGUCAGCUCUGCCGUGUAGGUGUCGAGGUUAAAGUCCUAUAAACGGAGCGCAAACCCCUCACGCCCAGUUGCCAGCGGGUAAAGGCCGGGGACUCUGGGUGGACUGCCGGCGCUAAGCCGAGAGGAAGGCGGGGUGACGUCAAACAGCACGGCCCUUACGUCCAGGGCGACACACGUGCUAACAUGGCCGGUAACAGAGGGCACCACGCCCGAGGCGGACGAUCUCGAAAACCGGUCUCAGUUCGGAUCGGACCUGCAACCCGGCUCCUGAAUUGGAUCGCUGAGUAAAUCGCGCGAUCAAGCCAUG